GAUUUUGGCUCAGGAUGAACGCUAGCUACAGGCUUAACACAUGCAAGUCGAGCGGUAUGUGCUUUAGUGCAUACAGCGGCAGACGGGUGAGUAACACGUAUCUAACCUUCCCCUUACUUGGGCAUAGCCUCUGGAAACGGAGAUUAAUUUCCGAUGUGGUGUACAUUUCGCAUGUUUUGCGCACCAAAGAUUUAUCGGUAAGGGAUGGGGAUGCGCUCCAUUAGGUUGUAGGUAGGGUAAUGGCCUACCUAGCCAAUGAUGUCUAGGGGUUUUGAGAGGAAGGCCCCCCACACUGGGACUGAGACACGGCCCAGACUCCUACGGGAGGCAGCAGUGAGGAAUAUUGGACAAUGGAUGGAAAUCUGAUCCAGCCAUGCCGCGUGCAGGAAGACGGCCUUAUGGGUUGUAAACUGCUUUUAUACGGGAGCAAUAAGGGUUACGAGUAAUCCGAUGAGAGUACUGUAUGAAUAAGGAUCGGCUAACUCCGUGCCAGCAGCCGCGGUAAUACGGAGGAUCCGAGCGUUAUCCGGAAUUAUUGGGUUUAAAGGGUGCGUAGGCGGCCAUUUAAGUCAGCGGUGAAAUUUUGCAGCUUAACUGUAACAGUGCCGUUGAUACUGUUUGGCUAGGAUUUGGUUGUAGUGUGCGGAAUGUGUGGUGUAGCGGUGAAAUGCUUAGAUAUCACACAGAACACCGAUUGCGAAGGCAGCACACUAAGUCAUUAUUGACGCUGAGGCACGAAAGUGUGGGGAUCAAACAGGAUUAGAUACCCUGGUAGUCCACACUGUAAACGAUGAUAACUCGCUGUCGGCGAUACACAGUCGGUGGCCAAGCGAAAGCAUUAAGUUAUCCACCUGGGGAGUACGACCGCAAGGUUGAAACUCAAAGGAAUUGACGGGGGCCCGCACAAGCGGAGGAACAUGUGGUUUAAUUCGAUGAUACGCGAGGAACCUUACCCGGGCUCGAACGGUGCAUGAAUAUACGAGAGAUUGUAUAGUCCUUCGGGACAUGUAUCGAGGUGCUGCAUGGUUGUCGUCAGCUCGUGCCGUGAGGUGUCGGCUUAAGUGCCAUAACGAGCGCAACCCUUGUCAUUAGUUGCCAUCAGGUCAAGCUGGGGACUUUAAUGAGACUGCCACCGUAAGGUGUGAGGAAGGGGGGGAUGACGUCAAAUCAGCACGGCCCUUAUGUCCGGGGCGACACACGUGUUACAAUGGGAGGUACAGAGGGCAGCUAUCCGGUGACGGAAUGCUGAUCUCCAAAACCUUUCUCAGUUCGGAUUGGAGUCUGCAACUCGACUCCAUGAAGGUGGAUUCGCUAGUAAUCGCGCAUCAGCCAUGGCGCGGUGAAUAAAAUCCCGGGCCUUGUACACACCGCCCGUCA
rnacentral:rRNA from 1 species